CGAGGGUUUUUUUUGCACAAAACCCACUGACGGAGUUAACGGCUGCCACGUCAUCGAUACACGCGAGGGCUAUAUUGCGGGUGACUUUUGAGAUGGCGGUAUUGACUUGCAUUUAUUUGAGAUGGAGGGUUUUCUUGCAAAAAUUGGUUACUUCGAGGGUUUUUUUGCACAAAACACCAAGUCAUGUGAGACAAAAAUAAUAAUCACCCGUAUCUAAGUCAUAUAGUCGAUCGCCACCCAUUUUUACCAUAAGGAUAAUCUAAAAACAUUUAAACAAACUCUAAAGCGGACCGUUGAGCCUUUUUAUCUCAUUUUAUAUUCACUGAUAUUUCUUUUGUAAUUUUAUCUUGUCUCUUGAUUGAAUCAAUCACCUAUUAAAGAACUUUGUUUAACUUAAUGGUGUAGGUAACAGAAAUAAUUGUGUGAUUCUAAGAUUUCCAUAUAUGAGAAAGCAAAAAGAUAGAAUCAAUGGAGAACCAUGUCUUUAGGACAAAACUUUAAGGAGGUUACGAUGUACUAAAAAAAGACACAUGUAACUUUCGUUAUAAAUACUUGUAAACUUUGUUCAUUUUUAAAAAACUUUUAAAAGAACAUCAAUUCAUUCAUUUUUGAGAUGAGUAAACCCAAUCAACUCUCGGUCACCAUUCUAAGUAUCUUCGGCAUCCUCGCUAUAGGGGUGAUGGUAAAUGAAACAGUAGGGCAGAGAUUGUGUGCUAUAGUUAUACCAAAUGAAAGUGUUGACGGUAAAUCAUUUGUAUCAACAUGUGUGAUUGAAUUGUGUGUCCCUCUAUGUAAGACGAAAUACGCCAAUGGGACUGGUACUUGCAGAAUACAAGUCCCGCAAAGGAAACCACGCAAAAAAGAAGAGAGAAUGUCACCCAGGGCACCGAAAGAAGAAUGUCUGUGCGUUUAUAUGACUUACAAUAAUUGCCCCACGGAAAAACGACAAAAUCUGUAAUUGAUUCGUUUAAAAAUGCUCAUAAAAACAUGAGAAAUAUCAGACCAUCAGAUCACCAAGUUAAAUUUACAAACUGCAAGUCAAUCACAUUUUUGGUUUUAUUUUAUAAGAACUCGUAAUAAUAAUAUUUAAUAAUACUAAAUAGUCACUUUGGGCUA